CUUUGCAGCUCUGUGGUGGUUUAUGGGGGAGAGCAGGGUGUGAGAGGCAGGAGGUCAAGCAGAUUGCCCGUGUCUGCAUGGGGGAGGCCGUCCCCAAAAGGGAACCGAGGAGUUGAGCAAAAGAAAUAAUCUGCAGUUAACUUUUUGUGAUUUUUUUAUUGAGGUGAAAAUGGAGCCAUCAAAACCUUUAGCGUUUCUGAAGACUCCUAAGGAGUUGAAUAGGAAGGGCACCUCCAGAAAAUCUUCCAGCAAGGAACAUUUUGGAGCAACAAAACAAAAAUCAGCUUUAAUGAGCACUAUGUACUCAUUAGGAAAUGGGAAUAUACAACCCAAAAUGCAGGAUGGUUCCUGUUCUUCAGCUGGUGACCCAGCUUGCAGCUGAUACUUACCAAGAUGAUCAAAACAAAAUUGCUUAAAAUUGUACCUCUUGCUUAAUUCGUUGGAUUACAUAUUUUUAUUGCUGACAUUGUCUGACAGCUAUGUAUUUUUUCUUCAGUUUUACAGAUUUGUGGUGGAGUUUCAAUGUAAAACGUCAGUCUGAUUUGGUUACACCCUUCCUCCUUCACCCUGCACAGCUGUUCCAGAGCAGCCUCUUGAUCUGCAGGGCUUUGAGAGCCGAGACCUGCUGCAGUCCCUGGGGACAGCAGGCAGCACCCAGGACAUGAAGCAACCUCUGCAGAUGGACCAAGGCCCCCUCCUGCAGGCCGGCAGCCUGGGAUGCUUCCUCAUCUCUGGAGGAACCUUCCUGGGCCUCUUUCCUCCCCCUCCUGCCACAUGCUCCCAAACCAGAGAAAUACUUCAUCACCCAGUUAGUAAUUUUUGAAACAAUUAUUGUUAAACUGACAAGUAAAAGCCUGAUCAUUGGUUCACAAUAUCUGCUUUUACUUUCAUCCACUGAAACAUUAGACCAGGAGGUGUCAAGUCAUCUCUAUCUGACAGCGAGUGCGGGAAAUAACCUGACGAACAAUCUGAACACAAAGUUCAAAACGGUGAAUUCUGAGGUUUCAUUAAAGCUAACAAGCAUGUUCUGGUUUGUUCAGGCCCAAGCAUACUUUUUUAUUUUCUGCAGGCGAUCGUGUGGUCCCAGUUUUAUUCUUUGUGCUCUUCAUGCUAGCACAUA